GGCUUCAUGGUGUAAUGGUCAGCACGCUCGGCGCAUAACCGAGAGGUCCGUGGUUCGAUUCCCGGCGUUGUUC
rnacentral:tRNA from 1 species